UUAAGCAGUAUGCUGAUUAAUGUAAUGUGAAUAUACAAUAUUUUAUAUAGCAAUAUCACUAUUUAGAAUAUAUUUUGACUAGUGUUUAUGUCUCAAGUAGUCUUGUUUAUGUGACUAUCUGUUUGGGUGUAAAUGUAUCGUUGUGGUGUCGAUGAGCAAAAUGUGCCCGGAGAUAUGUCAUAUGUUAAAGUAAAAUGUUUAGCCAUAAAUAUGUCUGUUAAUGGCCCGUUAACCAACAUAUACAGCGCAUCUCUGUACCCAAUUAUCUUAUCUCAGCUAUGCUUGACUGCCUUAGUUAUUGCUUUAUAAGUUUGUUACUGUGUCGAAUACAUUAUAUUAAUUAUUAAAAACUUUUGUAGGAAUGUGGCUGCAUCACUCUUGUCUUCACCUGCACCGGCUGCAACACUUUCACCUUCAUUUGAUGCUCGCACGAGGGCAAGCAGCAACAGGAACAAUAAAGAGAAUGUGGCUGCAACACGUUCACCUUCGUCUGACACUCGCACGAGGGCACACAGCAACGCGAUCGACAUUCAUCCUGUGAAUGUGGCUGCAACACGUUCACCUUCGUCUGACACUCGCACGAGGGCAUGCAGCAACGCAAUUGGGAACAAAAAAGAGAAUGUGUCAGCAUCACCUUUACCUGCUACUCACACACGCCGUAGGUCUCUUUCAGUUCUUAAAGCAUCUGAGACUAAUGUGUAAGUACUGUUUAUUAAAGUGUCACUGCUACAGUAAAAUACUGCUUAAUAAUUUUAUUUUAUAUUUCAUUUUUGAUUCAAAAUUUUUCAAACCCUAACCAUUCAUUUAUUUAUUUAGUUAUUUAUUUACAGAUUUAACACUGACUGUGAUAAUGCACCUGUUGCAAAGAGACUCAAGACCAACAUCCAGGCAAGCAGCAGGCAGUCCGUUCUGUCAUGCAAAACAUGUAAUGUUCCCUUUAAAUAGGAACUGUUUUGAACAAUGGUAUGACAACAUUUAACAAAUUUAUAUUUAUAUAAAUAUUUAAUUUAUAUGUAAAGUAUUUUUAGAUGCACACCAAACUGUACAUUUACAGCUGACAUUUUGAAUCAUUGCAUACAAUAAAGCUUCUUG